rnacentral:rRNA from 1 species
UUGACCUCGGAUCAGGUAGGGAUACCCGCUGAACUUAAGCAUAUCAAUAAGCGGAGGAAAAGAAACCAACAGGGAUUGCCUUAGUAACUGCGAGUGAAGCGGCAAAAGCUCAAAUUUGAAAUCUGGCGUCUUCGGCGUCCGAGUUGUAAUUUGGAGGGAUAUCUUCGGAGUUGGCGCCGUCCUAAGUUCCUUGGAACAGGACGUCAUAGAGGGUGAGAAUCCCGUGCCUGGAUGGCUGUCCAUCUCCAUGUGAAGUGUCUCCGACGAGUCGAGUUGUUUGGGAAUGCAGCUCAAAAUGGGUGGUAAAUUUCAUCUAAAGCUAAAUAUUGGCGAGAGACCGAUAGCGCACAAGUAGAGUGAUCGAAAGAUGAAAAGCACUUUGAAAAGAGAGUUAAAAAGUACGUGAAAUUGUUGAAAGGGAAGCGCUUGAGACCAGACUCAAUCUUUGGUGAUCAGCUGUGCUUCUGUACAGUGCACUUGCCAUUGAUUGGGCCAGCAUCGGUUCUGACGGUGGGAUAAAAGUUUGAGGAAUGUGGCUCUCUUCGGGGAGUGUUAUAGCCUCGAUCAUAAUGC